AAGUGUGUAUGCAGUGUAUUGUCGUUCCUGUAGUAGAUCAUUUAUAUAUUUUAAAACCAUAAUAUACAUUGGUCUUUUUUCACUUUUUACAAUGAAAAGGAAGCUGAUCUUCCCUUGGAAAAUUCAAGUCAGUUUCGGGAGAAAGGUUUGGACUGCAGCAUUUGGAGCCCCGUUGUCCUCCUGUCCCUCUAGACUGGAAUAAGCAUAGGUCACAGAAAACCCCACAGCCUCACCACUCUGAGCAAACCCCUCCCUGUGUGACAGCCACUGACCUACCUGAGGAGGUGAAGAUAGAGCUCUUAGCUCAGGGUCACAUUGCUCGUGCAUGUACCCAGUGGUACUAGCACUAUCUUUUGCACCCUCUCGACGUGCUGCUCACACAGGUUCUAUCAAGGCUGGUGGUCUGCUGUAUGUCCUGGACCAUUCUAGGUGGACACAGCAAAUGAGGGAUGCUAUUGACCAACUCAUGGCAAAGCAUCAUGGGCAAAAAGACUUUCUUGCCAAAGUUGAUGUAGAGUAUGCUGCUGUGAUUCAGGCUGCAUCCAGGGAUCCAAACAGCCUCCUGCACCCUACCACUAAGCAGCAUAUAUCUCGCUAUGUGAAGCACCUGGCUAAGAUGACAAUCACCAUCUCGUCACUAAACACCAGUACAGAGAAGCUUUUGGAGACCCAACAGCUGUGGCAUCACCUCACAGAAGGAAUUGAGACUGUAGAUGUUCCUGUGGCAACUAUUCCACCUGCCACUGUUAACCCGCCCAGCAAUAAACCAAUGGAUACCCUUUUGACAGUAUCAGAAAUUGAGAAAAUUGUCUAAGACAUUGUUCAAAAGCAGCAGGAUCAGCAACAACCACCUGCAAAAAAAAGAACAAGGAACUAUUUGGCUUGUGGCCAGCCAAAGUCACGUUUCCGGGGGGAUGGAUCCAGUAUUUAUUUUUUUUUAUCAAUCAGGAGACGUGAAAUACUUUUACUGUUCCACUAAAGUCUAUCAGACCUAUGCAGCAGAGGGCCUGGCAAAUCCAAGAAUGCCAUUUGUUGAUUUUGCCUGCACUCCAUUUUUCUGGAGAGAGCUUGAAGCUGCUAAGCAGCGCUCCACAGCCUCAAAGCAGGUUAAGAAGGAACGAGAAACAAGACAGGCUAAGGAGGAACAUCCCACUGGGCGGCUGUGCAGAUUCUGCCACAUGGCCUCUCAAACAAGGACCAAACAGUCCACACAUCCACACAGGUUUUCCUGGUGUGGCAGGAAAAUAUAUUUAUUGUCCUGCUAAGGUUUUUUCUCUGUACCAGGCUGAGGGGAUGACGAGGGAAAUGACAUGGACAGAGUUCUGUCAGUCUUCUUUUUAUGAGGCUGAGAAGAGGAGAUGGGCCGUGGAAACGAACAAGUAAUGGCUAGCUGAUCAGACAGCCAGUGCUCUAUGUUCCAUGUACAUACUGCAAAUAUUCAGCCCUUUACAUAACACCGUGUUCUUUACAUGCUUUACUUUUUUCCUAUGUAUUUCUAUAUAGAAAUUGUUAUUACCUUUUACUAUCAAAAAAGUAUUUUAAAACCUGCAGUACAAGUUGCUGUGAUUUGUAUUUCUUGCUGUGACCUUUUAAAUAAACAUAAUUGAACUGAAA